ACCACCCAGCAGCCCUGGCUCGGGGAGAAGUGGUUGGAACAAAGCUUUCCUUGGCCUGAAGAAACUCUCCAGGGAGCCGCGCAGAGAAAGGGAGCUCCCAGUCCAGAUUUAAGCAGCUUCCCCGUCUCCAUGUGUAUCCUGUUCCAGAGCCUGUGAAGGUGUAUGCACCACAUACCUGUGAAGAUGGGUCUCCUGCUGGAUGAAGAUGAGCGGAUAAAGUUCCCCACGUCAAAGAAAGGCUCCAUGUCCCCUCUCCAGGCACACUGUGCCCUCAGGCUGGGGUUCCUCUGCAGCGUAGAACAGGCAGACCUACAGCUGAGGAUCUCGGGCUUGACAGAUCCCUGGUCCCAGAGAGCCUCCAAGCCCCUCUGUCCACUUCCUUUCAGCAGCUGCUAAGGGCUGGAAGGAGCAGGAGCCCUGCCAGGCUGGGCUAAAGGGCAGCUGCCUACAGCAAUCUGAGUCAUGCCCUUCCCAGGCUUGUAUACACAUGUGUACACAUAUCACACAUGGAUCACUUGCACAGGCGGUCUAAGCCCAUGACUUCAACCUGUGCCAGGCUCUCAUGUACACAUAGGUCUACAUAGAGGCACACACUAAAGUAUAUAAGCCCCCGUUCCACCAUUGUUCUGUGUUUUAACUUACAAGACAUAAGUGGACAUUAAGACAAUACACCAGUUCAUAAGCAGAUACAGAUAUGAAUUAACAGAUGUCACAUACAGAUAUUGUUAUGGACUGAAUAUUUGUGUCCUCCCCCAAAAUUUAUAUGUUGAAGCCCCAACCCCCAAUGUGAUGGUAUUAGGAGGUAGGGCCUCUGGGAGGCAAUUAAGUUAGAUGAAAUCAUGAGGGUGGGGCCCCUAUGAGGGGAUUGGUGUUCUUAUAAGAAAAGGAAGAGAGAUGAGGGCUGCUCUCUGUACCAUGUGAGGGCACAGUGAGAAGGUGGCCAAGUGCAAGCCAGAAACAAAUCUGCCAGCAACUUGCUCUUAGACUUUUCAGCCUCCAGAACCAUGAGAAAAUAAAUGUCUUUUGUUUAAACCUCUCAAUCUGUGGCUUUUUGUUAUAGCAGCCCAAGUAGACUAAUACAGGUAUGAACUAGGAAUUACAGUUGCACACAUUUGCAAAUAUUAAUUCAUGUAUCAGCAAAAAUUACUGACACACUUCUAGAUGGGGAGUAAUGGGUGUUACUCCCACCACUGCUUCUGGAAUCACUUACUGAGCUCUCACUGUGCUGAGUGUUUUACAGAGGUAGUUGGUGCACAUUAUUCUCAAGAUAGCCCCCUUCCCUCUGAGGGAGACAUUUAUUAGCUCCAUCGUAUCAGGGAAAUUAAAUCUUAAAUAAGGUGCUCAGAGUUAGUUGCACAACUCUACAAGGUAGAGUUGGGAUUUGGACCCAGGUCUCCUGACUUCCUGGUGGCUCAGACAGUAAAGAAUCUGCCUACAAUGCAGGAGACCAGAGUUCAGUCCCUGGGUAGGGAAGAUCCUGUGGAGAAGGGAAUGGUAACCCACU